rnacentral:lncRNA from 1 species
GGACUAGUAUAUGAUAGCAUUAUCAUCACCACAGAGAUGAAUGACCGGCAGCCUGAGGUGCAGGAGCCGGGCUGUGACCUUGCCCUCUGGUUUGGCCUCAGCUUCUGUACAGGCUGACCUGGACAAAGCUGGACUAUGGGGCCAAGCAUCUUUGUGGCCCCUGCUCCCUCUGGAGUCUCCAGGUCCCAGCUUCCCACUUUCCCAACAUCCCCUCCCAAACCCAAGUCAGCAGUGAGCCUUUUCUCAGCCUGGGUCCACCCUUCCCCUUGAGGGCUCUAAGCCUGUUUCCCCAUCUGUGCAAGGGGUUAGAGAUGGUACUGCCGCUGGGUCCUGAAUGGUGAUGUCUGCAAAGGAAAGGCUUGGCACAGGCCUGAAACUGGAGGGAACUGUGGUUUUCACCUUUGUUGCCUUUAACAGCUGUGCAACUUUUUAAGCCACCAGACUGGGAAGAAACGUGCCCCAGGGAGGUGAUGUCGCUGAUAUCCACUAGUGCUCAGCACGUGGCUUCCUCUUGUUCUCAGCACAGUUUUGGACACAGACAUGGACACUCCCAUUUUACUGAAGGAAACCAGCCCAGGCUCACACAGCUGCCUAUCCAUAUUUUGCCUGACCAUUUCCCUCUUGGCUGUGAUGUGUUUGAAAUUCACUGGAAACAUAGCAUUAUUACCGCUUCCAUGGGAACUUAUGCUUGUCUAAUUUACCUCCAGUGAUCUGUUUUGCGCCAUAUCCCCCUUCCUUUCUGAUUUGAAAACCUUUGCUGUUGGUGAUGUGGGAAAAAUCAUAGGACCUGAUUUGACAGAAUUGUUUGUCAGUUCAGGAAAUAGCCAACUGCAGGAGACAUUUCUCCGGUGUUUCUGGUGAGUCAGAGGCAUCUUUUAGUCCAAAGAUUUUACCCUUACUUUUGUUUUGUCUGAAUCUCUGAGAUAUUUGUGGUUCUGGAGUUUAUUAUGGCUAUUGGACUUGACAAAAAAGAAUUGCAAGUAAAUGGUGCAUUGGCUAUUAAAUUAAAAUAAGUCUGCCAUUUCCAUUAUUGAAAAUUAGUAGUUUGGUAUCUGUUUCAUAGAAUGGAAACAGAGCUUUGGGUCAAAAAUGAGAUAUCUACCUUAAUUCUCUUCCAGAGAAAUGGUUGUUAAAAUAUCAGCAAGUAGAAAGGAAAUUCUUUCUAUUGGUUAUUCUACUUCUAAAGUUUUAGUAUGCUAGGCCACAGGUACACUAUUCUAGAGUGUUUCCUGAGGCAGAGGAAAUAAAAACAAAAUUAAACUAUUGGGGCUACA